UACGGAGGGGGCAAGCGUUAUUCGGAAUCAUUGGGCGUAAAGGGCGCGUAGGCGGCUUGGCAAGUCAAAGGUGAAAUCCCUCGGCCCAACCGAGGAACUGCCUUUGAAACUGCUUGGCUUGAGGCCGGGAGAGGGUAGCGGAAUUCCCAGUGUAGCGGUGAAAUGCGUAGAUAUUGGGAGGAACACCAGUGGCGAAGGCGGCUACCUGGACCGGUUCUGACGCUGAGGCGCGAAAGCGUGGGGAGCAAACAGG
rnacentral:rRNA from 2 species